UUGAAACUUUAAGCAUAGCUUUAAGUAAUAAACUGAAGGUGCAUGUAACACAUUUUUUCAGUUUAAUCAGUUGUAAAGGUUGAAUGUUGGUCAGUCGUUUUUUGCUAUCUGCGCCUCGCUUCCUUAGAGUCUAAGGCACAUGUGUCAAACCAGUUCUCAAAGGGCCGCAGUGGGUGUAGGUCACCAAUCUGGUGUCUUACAAUUGAUUGCAGUAAGGUGCUGCUUGUUUUAGCAGAAAUCUCAGUGGUUGAAAUGUCUGUGCUGGAACUGUUGGAACAAAGACCAGGACCCACUGUGGUCCUUUGUGGAAUCGGUUUGACAACCCUGAUCUAAGGAAUACAUCCACUCUCGUUUUCCCUUUUACAUCUAAAACUUAAAUGGAAAAGGGAAAAACAAGUGGAUGAGAGGGGAAAAAAAGCUGUGCCCCUGUGUUAGAGAGAUCUGAUCAUUAAUUCAGGCCUUUACUGAAUGUGACAGGAGUGUGAAAGAAGUCCAAAUUCAUCCUGAUCGUCUGUAUGUGUCGACACUAAGGGUGUAACGGUACAUGUAUUUGUAUUGAACCGUUUCGUUACGUGGUGCUCGUUUCGGAACUCAGGCGUACCGAACGAGUUUCUGACGUAAUGUAACCCUUACUUUUCGAGGCUGUGAGUCGAUCGGGUUACAGUUUCUUUGUGUAGAUUAUACUUACUCCGUCUUCUCUACUAUAAUGAGGACCAACACGUUAGGACAGUAUAAUCCAGAAACGUCAAAGGCGCGACAACGUGGCCGCCGCGAGAACGCAGUGAAACACGGGUGUUAAAGUCAAUCAGCCAAUGCACACCAGUCGCGGUGCGGCCGCAUGUUAGACGCGUCCCAGAAGCGGCAGAGUUUAUUAUUUGACGUGAGACGCGACCCUCCUGCGUCAAUACUACUACCGGUAGCUAGAAUCUGGCAGACCGGAAGUCACUCGUGUAAAAAUAUGGUGGAUCCGGUCGAUUUUCAAACUAAUAUGCAAUCGUAACCCACUUUUUGAGUCCAUCAGAUCUCUUGGGUGGUAGAUCGGGGCACAGUUGACUUGUCUUUGUUGAUUUACUGCUGUCUUCUCUGCUAUAAUAAUAACCAACACGUGUUCAAUACAAAACCCUCCUACCACAACAAAACAAGUGGGAACUAAUAUUCACAUAGGAACUAAAGUUAUACAACAUAAAAUAUACAAUAUAAAUGAAUACUACAUCACAUUUGUAAAAUAUAAACACAUAAUAAAAUAAAUAAUAGCCCAUUUAAUAAAAUAAUUGAAAUGAGCUAAAACAUCUGUAAUUAAAUAAUAAGAAUAAUACACAGAUCCUGCGUACACAAUUAAAUUGAUUAGUUUCUGUGUGGCGCUUUAACUUGAGAAAAUCCACCAAUAAAGCUUUUGAAAACCGUUCAUAAGAAAAAAAAAAAGAUUCCUUGAGGCAUUUCCUUUGUAAAAUACAUGUUAAAAUCUAUGUCAUUGGGAUUGCUUUUCUCUUUAGCACAGGACUUUUUUUCCCCUUUCUUUCAGAAAGAAAGCUGACCAAUAUGUGGGGUCUGAAUGGCAAAUUGUUGGAGUAUUAUCUUUAAAUACCCGCUACUUUUUGAGCAGAAUUCUAGCUUUGUAUAGGCUAAUGUUCCUAUUAUUGAAAGGUGUGUAAUAAACAACUAGCAUAUUUAUAUUUUGCAUUUUCUUUUCUUACUGUACCGAAAAUGAACCGAACGGUGACCUCAAAACUGAGGUACGUACCGAACCGAGAUUUUUGUGUACUGUUACACCCCUAGUCGACACCGCUUAAAAAGUCUUUAUGGCAGUUUUUCUUUCCCACGCACAGUAUUGAUUCAGUCAGUUCCUUCCAAAGUCAAAACAAUGAUUCACAUGUUUCAAGCAGAAGUUUUUGAAAAGCAGACUAGAAGGGACUGCUAAGUUUUGGCAUGAUCUCUGUGCGGAGCCAAGGACUUCCUUCUGUGCGCGGCCAAGACGGCGGCUCCUGCUGCUCCUUGGUAGCUGUCCGUGUCCUGCGAGUCUUCGCUGUUCUGAGAUUUUGUGCUGUCCUGCGAGUCGGGCUUCUGCCUUGUUGCUCGGUUCUGUUCCUCCUUCAGCUCCACGUAGGACCUGGAGAAUGUGUGAAAGAUAGACGUGACGGGAAAAGCCAUGAGCAGAAUGCCGCUCAGGAUGCUGCUGAGCGCCACCACCUGGCCGGGGAUGCUCCUCGGCACCAUGUCGCCGUAGCCCACAGUGGUCAUGGAGAUGACAGCCCACCAGUAGCUGCCCGGGAUGCUGGUGAACUCUUGCUUUGCGCCAAACUCACUCUCAGCGAGGAACACCAGCGGAGAGAAGAGCGCCAUGGCCACGCACAGGAAGAGCAGCAGAAGGCCGAACUCCCGUGUGCACCGCUUCACCGUCAGGCCCAGCGUCUGCAGGCCCAGCGAAUGGCGGGCCAGCCUCAUGACGUAAAAUAUCCGCAAGGCCCGCAGGACGCGGAGGACCAGGCCCACCUUCUCUAGGUAGUUGUUCCCGGAACCCGCUGGCUUGCCGCCCGCUGACAGUGAGUCUACGAUGAGCGUGAUGUAGUAGGGCAACAGAGCCACCACGUCGAUAACAUUGAGCGGUGUGCGCAAGAACAUACACUUGCUUUGAGUCUGGAUGAAGCGCAACACGAACUCCAGAGAAAACCACGCCACACACACUGUCUCCAGCACGAAAAUAUUGAAGCAUCGCUGAGAGCACUCCCCCUGCAGGCCAAAACAAGAAGCAUUAUAAGGUCGGGCAUGGUGCUGACACAAAGCGUCACGGCAGUGAUGGCCACGAACAACACGGAGAGACAGGCAAAAAUCUUCCCAGGGAUUCCGGAGUGAGGGUUCUCCACCAUGUCCCUCAGUCUACGCAUGCAGCCGCCUCCCUGGUCAUCUUCCGGCUCAUCAGCCAGCUGCUGGCUCUCCUCGCAGGACUGCGGCGUGACCAACUCGGCCUCCUCUUCCUCCAGCCUCCGCAUCUCCUUGUACUCUUCCUGGCGGAGACGCAGCUUUCUCAGGCAACACCAGUCUAGCUUGUUCUCCUCCACGCCCCAGUAAAGCAGCUCCUCCUGGAAGGACAGGGCGCACAUCUCCCUGAGCAACCGCAGUUUGCCCGCCGCCAAGAAGGUGACGAUGGUGCGGAAGGCCGACGGGCUACGGUCGAAGAAGAACUCAUUGCGGCUGCCGUCGUAGUCGUCGCACACGUCCAUGAUCUCUGCUUCAUUACUGCAACCGCGCAGCUUCCCCAGCCUGGUCAUGGGGAACUCAUCCAAGGUGGACCAAGGGAUGCGGUACUUGAUUCCUCCCACGUUGAUAAUGGCCGCCCCUUCGUCGGUGUCCUGCUGUCGGUUCAGCGGCUUGAGCAGGUGCUGGGCCCGCUUGUAAAAGACACCCUUCUUGGAGGAUACCUCCUGGAGGUUCUCCACUCGUUUAAAGUGGAAAGUAGUGAACUGGUUCUCUGUGCUGCCGGCCAGGAAAGCCACCUCCUGGUACAUGGCGACCACGUUGCUUCACGAUGGAGGGCAGGUAUCAUUUGAAAGGACAUUAGGCCAUCAUUUGACAGACAACUUGCAUCGUCUUUAAGUUUUCUAAAUCACUCCCUUUCACAUAGUUUUUCAAAUAACGUUGGAAAAGCGAAACGGUGUUGCAGAAGUACCUGGUAAGAACUUGUUUUUGUUCCUAACAGCAUUUCACCUGAAACUUAGCUGCGUCAGAAAGUCAUAAAGCUUUAACUAAGAGGACCUCGGCUUUUUCAAUGACAUCAAGUGGAAAAACAUGAUGCUCAACAACCUGAAGUACAGCGAAAGUUUGAUCACUCUCUGAAGCUUACGCAUAAUGAAACUUAAGUCUACUUUUAGUUGCAGUUUUGCGACAAUAGUAGUCACAGGCUUUCCGUGGCAUGAUUUGUUAAGGGCAGAUCCUGUUUCGAGACAAUAGAUGUGAGUAGGGGUGUACUAUCUAAGGCCCCCCACGAUUCGAUUCGAUUACGAUUAAUGGUGCGGCGAUUCGAUUAUUGAACGAUGAUCACGGUAUUAACGAAAGGCGUGUGAAAUGUCCGAUUCUUAGAUUCAAGAAUGAUUCACAAACAUCCAUAUUCCAAUCAUUUAAAUAUGCUAAGUAAACUGGAACUUAAACACAGUCAGCGCGGUCAUCGGGACGCAAUGAGGAACGGACCAAGAGUAAACAUCAUUCCAUACCUCAUGCCGCGAGAUUAAAAAAUGCCAACAGCCGCUACAAACAACGCCCAGUUGCUUGAAACUCCGCCCUCGUUGCUACAAACUACGCCCACAUAAUGCUAUGGUAGAUAUCACAUGUAUGUAAAACUAGAUGCGAAAUGACAGACUCGCUCUGUUUUAGCGAACCUUCCGAGCGAACCUAAUUAACUUUUUAUCUAAAAUACCCCUCAAUCGGCAAAAACUUGACUUGAAUCUCUCUUUAAAUGAUGAAACCGUUUUUAAAGCUUUCACAUGUCGAAAGUAGACAGAAGGGAAAUUAUGGAAUAACGGGAGCAAGUUUAAGAACUUUAACGGUUGAGUCACGACAUUAAAUAAAUUGAAUGAAUAUCUUAUUUAGAGUAUCUUAUUUAUUUCCUGAGUAGGGGUGUGACAAAAUAUCGAAAUGGUGAUAUAUCGUGAUACUUUGUAUCCAAAAUGGUUAUUGAUAUGCUCCUUCCAAAAAUCGAGAUAUCGUUUUAAAAAGGUGUAAAUGUCUUAAAAAAAAAAAAAAAAAAAGAACCAACAAGUUGUUACCAAAAUCUUCCACCAUUAUAGUGUCUAAGUCAGACCCGGCGGCCUGGGCGGGCAUUAGGGGGCCGGGCCCACCCUGAGAGACUACUGUGCCCGCCCUAGCUCGAAUAGACUGUACUGUGUAAUUUUUAAAAAAAUCUUCCACAAAAACACACACACACACACAGAGAGAGGACGAACCCUCUAUGCCAGUGUUUUUCAACCAAUUGUGCCACCGCCGUGAGAGAUCGUCUGGUGUGCCGCGAGAAAUCAUCCAAUGUCACUUUUUUUUUUUUUUUUUUAACAUCGUCGGGCAAAGUUGCAGUAGGAAGGAAGGAGUAGGCAAAAAAUUCUCGGUUGUGUGCAGAUGAGCGAGGCAUUGCUAGUGUUGCAUUCAAGAACUGCUCGGAUUUCUAGAACUGCACAGAUUUCUAGCCAUCAGCCACCUUGCUUACGCAACAAUGUGGACCCCAGCACGUCUACUGUUCAUCAUUUGACUCGUCAAGUGUCGAUAUACACAAAAGUGUCCUUUCCAUUUUAUCCAUAUGUGACGGCCGUCAAUCCUCCCUCUGUGUUUUAUUCCAACACAUUAUUGAGGACAGUAAGGUGGGUGAUGGCUAGACAUCCGAGCAGUUCUUGAACGCGACACGAGCAGCUGCCUAGCGCCGUACCGCCAUACAAGUUUAAACGUUAUCUCCAAAUGAACGCCCGUCGCUUCAGAACAAGUCGAUAGACUAUUUUGUUCGUCUUCGUGAAAACACAGAGAAAUGGGCAACCUUUUAAAGAAAAACUACAAAGGUAAAUAAGAAAGCCCUGAAAUCCAGUUACUUUGUUGCUAAAUCCAAAAAGUCCCAAACCGUGGCAGAGACAUUAAUACUACCUGCCUGCAAAGCCAUUGUUAGCGAGAUGACCAGCCCUAAUGUGCUUAAAGACAUUGCUCAAGUCCCCCUGUCUGAUUAUUCUGAGUUUUUCAAGCCUAACUGCUAAAAAAAAUAAAAUAAAAUAAAAACAGAGAGAGACUGAGAGCUGUUGAAGAAGAUUCCUGCCAGUUUUUUGGCUUUGUGUUCAUCUUAACAGGCUCAAGUUUCAUACUGAGUAAGUAUAAAUACUGAGAAAUUGUUUUAUAAUUAAAUAUACUCUACAGAAAGUAAUUUUGGAACAUUUCGGUGUGGUGUGCCGCAAGAUUUUGUCCAAUGUAAAAACGUCCCGUGACUCAGAAAAGGCUGAAAAACUGCUCUAUUCAUCCUAUCUUGAUCUGUCGUCAUUCAAUUCAACCAAUCUGAGCAGCGAAUGAAGGCAAUUUCUAGCCAAUCACAGAUAAGGGGGGCGGGCCGAGUAGCUGGCCAUUGGGUACUGCGAUUGGAUAGGGAUUGCUUCGGUUACAGUAAUGGCGAUUGAGCAGCUCCUCCGUUGCUAAUUCAAAUUGGAAUGGACAUCAGUGUUUUUUUCAAUAAACUAAAGAUGAACUCAAGCCAUGACAAAGACGUGGCCGUGAAGGAUAGCGCUGCCACCUCCUACAGUUUCACUGACCGACACCAUCAUCAGAAAAUAUAACGGGUAAAAGCACCACUGUUCAGGCUAAAUUUACGUUGAAGAAGUGGGCCCCCUAAAAAAAUGUAAUGCCCCCCCUGUAAUUUCCUUCUGCAGCCGGGUCUGGUCUCAGUUAACUCUAAGGCUGCAUUGACGGUGCUCGACGCCCAAUCCAUUUAGACUGGGAACGUCCGUUCAUUCGAAACCAGAGUAUUCACAGUGAUUCUCUCUAAUUUUCAGGGCAUUUACAGGUCACUUUCUGUUCAUUUUAGGGCAUUUACAGGUCAUUUCCUGCUGAGUUUGAGUCACUGCCUAUUCAUUUGGGUGAUUCUCAGGUCACAACUCAAAAUAAACAGGAAGUGACUCAUAAAAUACCCCAAAAUCAACAGGAAGUAACUGAAAAUCAACAGGUAAAUAACCUUAAAUGCUCCGAAAUUACCUCAUUGCCUGCCACUGGCGGCCAUAGACGUUCAAUCCGUUUGAAGUAGGAGGAAUGGCAGCGAACGAACGCUUCAUUCAUUCACUGCCACCCUCCCAGUUUAAAUGGAUUGGACGUCUACUAGUGAUAAACUCAUUCCAAUUCACACCAGAAGCUUGUGUUUCCUGUUCAUUAGUUGUUUGUAGAAUAUCCUAGAAUGAUUUCCUGACCAAUGUAUCGAUAAUCGUUGUAUCGCCAUACCGUCAGAUCAUUGUUAUCGUGCGCUUUGUAUCGAAAAUCGUAUCGUAUCGUGAGGUACGAAGAAGUUCCCACCCCUAUUCCUGAGGUGCCCCAAGAUUCCCAGCUCUAGUAUUAACGAUGAUCACAGGCAUGUUUGUAGCGUAAUCCUGGUUUUACACGUUCUACAUAUGGAGUAAACAGUCAAUUCCCUGUCCAUUGUCAUAUUGAUGAAAAACCAAAAUGCUUCCAAAUGCUAGUUUUUAAUCUGGAGGAGUAAAUUUCUCGCUUAUUAACUUCCGUUGUCGCUAUCAUUUAGGUGUCCCGGCAGCAAGAGAGUCUUUUACUUUCAUUCUGCGAGCAGCGGUAGUGUUCCUGUUAUUAAGUUAUUUUGGAAAAUUAUUGUUUUGGAACAUUUAUGAAUCUUAAUCGAAACGUCACGUGUUGAAUCUCGAUGAAUCUAAUAUGUAUUAGCAUGCCGCUAGCUGUGAGUACCGUAAAUUAGACAAUACGUUGGGGAAGUGUGAAUUUCAGCAGGGACAGAAAAACUUGUUGCCAUUUGGCAUGUGUCGAUAACCGGUUUCAAGGUAUACCGUGGUAUGAAAAUGUCACGGUUUCAAAACCGCAAAAAGUUUCCAUCAUACCAUCCCUAAGGUAUUAGCUAUUUUUUUAGUGUACCAUAAAUGCAGGGAGAAAUCCUUCGCUUGCAGCUGAAAGGCUCAAUCCUCCUUCACUGGUUGUUGCUCAGUGUCAGUGAGUCAGCUGUGCUACACGAUGGCUGGGGGAAGUGAAACUCCUGAACUUAUUUUUGCCCCAUCGAAGAAAACAAAAUCGCUGGUAUGGGAAUGCUUUAAAAAACUACAGAAAAGUUACAGACAUCCGCGGCUUAGAAGAGGGCCAACCGACAUGUAAAACAUGUUUGUGGAAGGUGGCUACUGAGGAGGCAAUGCCUCCAAUAUGAUUUCGCAUUUAUACAAAAUUAAAGGUUAGUAAACACUAUCAUGAACGUUUCCCGCCAGCUACAAGUUAACUCCAGCAUGUUUAGUAUGUCUAGCAGUGGUAAAACGUUUUUUUUCUCUUUCUGGCAACUGUCUGUGUUGAGAAAGAGUGUGUUUGUAUAAUGUAAACAUGAGACGAGUCAUACACAUGUGCUUUUUAUGGAAAAUAAUCUAAUUUUUGUUCUGAUUGUAAUCAUGUUGAGCUGUGGCUGUGGUUUUACACUCACCUAAAGGACUGCAUUUAUUUUAAUUCUAUUUAGAUUUUUUUUUAAAUUUAUUUUACCGGAAUGUUAUAACGUAUUGGCCCAAAUAUAAGACGGUGUUUUCUGCAUUGAAAUAAGAUUGAAAAAGAGGGGGUCGUCCUAUAUUCGCGGUCUAGACAUUAUACCCAUUCACGACGCUAGAUGACGCCAGAUAUCAUUGAAGCGAUGUUCUGUAAUUGUCUCAUGUCUCAGCUACUAGUUUAACAAGUUUGCAUUAUUUUAUUGCAAUGUUUUUCCUUAUUCAGAUUUGUUUCAAGACUACAGUUACAGUUAGACUUCACUUUGAUAGUUAAUGCAGUUAUUGCAAUAUUGUUGUUUUAUCACAAUAGAUUGGUUUAUUUACAUU